GAUGAACGCUAGCGGCAGGCCUAAUACAUGCAAGUCGAGGGGCAGCGGGUCCAGCAAUGGAUGCCGGCGACCGGCGCACGGGUGCGUAACACGUAUACAAUCUGCCUUUUACAGGGGAAUAGCCCGGAGAAAUUCGGAUUAAUGCCCCAUAAUAAAUUGAAUGGCAUCAUUUGAUUUUGAAAGCUGAGGCGGUAAAAGAUGAGUACGCGUGCUAUUAGCUAGUUGGUGAGGUAACGGCUCACCAAGGCCACGAUAGGUAGGGGAUCUGAGAGGACUACCCCCCACACUGGUACUGAGACACGGACCAGACUCCUACGGGAGGCAGCAGUAAGGAAUAUUGGUCAAUGGAGGCAACUCUGAACCAGCCAUGCCGCGUGCAGGAAGACGGUCCUAUGGAUUGUAAACUGCUUUUAUACGGGAGAAAACCCCGGUACGUGUACCGGGUUGAUAGUGCCGUAGGAAUAAGGAUCGGCUAACUUCGUGCCAGCCGCCGCCGUAAAAC
rnacentral:rRNA from 1 species